rnacentral:lncRNA from 1 species
CUGCUGUCCCUGGACGUUCCCAGGAGAGGGUCCGGGAGGGGGUUGGGAGCGAACGCAGGGAGGAAUUGCUCUUUCGACCACUCUUCGCGCCCCUCCCCCCAUCCAAUCUGGCUUUGGUACACACUCUUAAAAGCUUUUGGGUAGGAUUCUCUGGAAAAAUGGUUUUUCCAGUGUCAGGUGAUCACUAUGUUGGUUGUUUCCGAAACUGUUAUACCGAGAGAAGUUAUUUGUCUUGGUCAAUACAGCACCUAAAACCACAGUAACCAAAACCUAACACAUAGUAACUAAGAUGUAAAUGUAGAAUUCGCAGAAAUCUCAGCGUUUGUGUUUUAGGAUUAAUUUGACUUUGACCCUUGACUUUUUGACUAGCCCCUGAUCUUUCUUAUUCACAGCACCAGCAUCAAAACUUUGGCCAGUCCUCAAGACCCAUCCCCCAUCUCCCACCACGCCUUUUCAAGAGGGACAGAGGCUACUAGGACAAGAAUUCUCUUAUUCACUUCCCUCCCCCAAAUUAUUUUUUCCUUGAAUUUCCUGACGUUUUACAAGAGAUAAUGUCCUUUUAUGUGUGUGUGUGUAUACACACGCACAUUUAUAUGUGUAGAUAUACGUAUAUUCGUGUUGUAAUAUAUAUUCUUGAUUUUGGUCCUCUGGGUUUAGAGACUGACCAGCUGUUCACCUUGGGCAAAUUUCUUAAUAGUCUGUGUCUUAAUAGUCCUCAUCUGUAAAAUGAGAAAAAAGAAUAAUAUGGUCCUCAUAUGACAUUAAGGGAGAUUCAAGGCAAGUCAUUUAUGUAUUUAGAGCAUUUAGGUCAGUACUUCGCUCAUAAUAAAUACAUAGUAUAUGACACUGUCCUGUAUACUUUUAAAACACUCUCCUGUAUGCUUUUAAAUCAUCUCUUGAUUAUAUAAACACCUAAUACAAUGUAAAUGCUUUGUAAAUAGUUAUUAUUGCUGUGUUUAGUAAAUAAUGACCAAAAUAAAUCUGUGUUCAGUUAAAAAAAA